rnacentral:pre_miRNA from 1 species
UGUUAAAAAAUUUAUGCAUUUCUGCGGUUAAAAACUAAUGUCGCUGACGGAACAACCAGAUAGUUACAUGUGAUGUGUCACGUGUCCCUUUUAUUGACGUACAGGAACUAGUUUCAAACAAUAGAAAUGAAUGAAAUUUUUGUCA